AUCUCGCACUUUAUAUGAUAUGUUAUAUAGACUAGACGAUGGUUGUGUAUCACUCUAAAUGGUUAUCAUGUAUCAAAGAAAGUUUACUUGAGUGUGGUUAUAAUCAUUGUUGCAAUAACCAAACUGUAAAAAAAAAUGCUAUUCUGUGAAGACAUGUUAAACAGAUUCUUCAUGAAAUUUUUUUUGAAAAUUUGAAAGCACAGA
rnacentral:lncRNA from 1 species